CCCUUCCUCCCGGCACCGGUAACAAAUGACGACCCCGCGGGGUCGUCGACUCCACCCGCUUUGCUGCUGAUAUGCCGGGACUUGCUGCAAGUUUCCCUGGUUCACUGGCUCCACAGCAUACACCGGGUAAGCUCCCUGUUGAGGCUGAGUCGUUUGGGGCUGCACAUAGAAUCCAGCACCCAUCUGCUGGCCCGGCAAGGUCUGGUACACGGGCUGAGCUGCCAUUGGUCCUACCGCUGGAACUUGCUGCUCCCUCAUUCUAGCAAAGCAGUUCUCAGUGGUGUGAUUUGUUCGCCGACAGUAACCACAGCGAGGUCGAGCUGGCUGGGGAUUCUGACACUCAUUGGGGUAGUGCCCAUAGCCCUUGCAUCGCACGCACCAAAUCUCGGCGCGGUCCACCACCUUCCGAGGUUGCGCCUCAGUUUGGCCUCUCACCAAGUUCACUUGUAGCUCUGCCAUCUGCUUGGUGAGGGUUUCCACUACAUCUUCUUUCACCUUUGCCAGUUGUGACUCGAAGUUUGGUAGGUGUUGACUCGUCAUUGGAAUUGACAGAGCUGGAGCCGCCGGUACUGCUGGUAACAGAGUCGACUGGAGCUGCAACUGGGGCUGGGGCAUAUACUGAACCCCCGCCAUCACACUUGGGUAAGCUCCAGACGCGUAGGAUGACCUCGAUCCCAGCCUCGCUUGCUCCCACGUCGCUGCAUGCUCGAUAGCUGCAUUCAAAUCUUGAGGUCUGUGAAUUUUCACGUGGAAACUGAGCUCGUAGGGCAGCCCGUUGAGAUAACAACGGACUUGAUCUUCUGCAGGUGGAGCCGGAUUCUUUCUCUGCAGUAGCGCUCUGUACCUCCGAGUAUAGUCCUGCAACGUCUCUCCUGGCAGGAGCUGAAUAGAAUUCAACUCCUCGGUGAUCCGGGUACUAAACCCGAAUGGCCUGAACUGCCCCAGAAAUGCUCUUUUCAACGCAUCCCAGGUGGCAAAUGCUGGUUGUGCUCCCGCAACAACAGCAGAAGCUUGAGCGUACCAAUCCAUCGCCGGACCGGAGAGCGUUGUGGGAAACCACCUCAGCCUCGCUGCAUCCGCCUGCUCUUGAUUUGCCAAGCUCACCACCUCGAACGCCGUGAUAUGAGAAUCUGGAUCGCUCAGGUUGGUGAACUUUUGAUAUUUUUCUCUUCCUCCUCCUGCUGCCGGCUGAGCCAUAUUGUUUGGUGGCG
rnacentral:lncRNA from 1 species